rnacentral:lncRNA from 1 species
AAGAAAUCCGGCGUAGAUGUGCUGAAGAAGAUCGGGACGCUGAUGAAGAAGAGGAACAAAUGCUUGCAACAGCGGUGUGUAUGCUUAAUUAAUCAAGGCAAGACCGUUGUCGUCGUGUCCCGAAUGUGGAUAGACGUAGGGACUCUCGGGGUAAGAAUCUCUUGGAGGAUUACUUUAUCCCAAAUUCGUUAUAUCUUGUUUCUAAGUUUCGAGAAAGAUAUAGAAUGC